rnacentral:lncRNA from 1 species
AAAUGUUUGCACCUGUCCUAAGUCAGGAAUCUGAUGUACAGUAGUUGUCGUUUGUUUAUGUAAUAUAUGCGUGUUUUUCGUUUCUCGUUUUGUUUAUAUAGAUUAGACCGUUGGUUUUCCCGUUUGAAUGGUUUUACACUAGUAAUUUUGGGGCCCUUUAUAGCUUGGUGUUCGGUGUGAGCCAAGGCUCCGUGUUGAAGGCCGCACUUUAACCUAUAAUGGU